CUUGUAUUGGAUGAUGGGAAUUUAAACCCCUUCCAGAGUAUCAAUUGGAGGGCAAGUCUGGUGCCAGCAGCCGCGGUAAUUCCAGCUCCAAUAGCGUAUAUUAAACUUGUUGCAGUUAAAAAGCUCGUAGUUGAAUUUCUGCUGCAUCGUGGUUCUUCGCUAUGUCGAGUGAUCUUCGUUGUGGCUUAGUUGGGGCAUGUUUUCAUGACUCGACGUUUACUUUGAGAAAAUUAGAGUGCUUCAAGCAGGCUUUUGCCUUGAAUACUUUAGCAUGGAAUAAUGGAGUAGGACUUUGGUUCUAUUUUGUUGGUUUUAGGAGCCGGAGUAAUGGUUAAUAGGAACAGUUGGGGGCAUUCGUAUUUGACUGUCAGAGGUGAAAUUCUU
rnacentral:rRNA from 1 species